AGCGAACGCUAGCGGCAGGCUUAACACAUGCAAGUCGAACGGGCACUUCGGUGCUAGUGGCAGACGGGUGAGUAACACGUGAGAACGUACCUUUCGGUUCGGAAUAAUUCAGGGAAACUUGGACUAAUACCGGAUACGCCCUUCGGGGGAAAGAUUUAUCGCCGAUAGAUCGGCCCGCGUCUGAUUAGCUAGUUGGCGAGGUAAUGGCUCACCAAGGCGACGAUCAGUAGCUGGUCUGAGAGGAUGAUCAGCCACAUUGGGACUGAGACACGGCCCAAACUCCUACGGGAGGCAGCAGUGGGGAAUAUUGGACAGUGGGCGCAAGCCUGAUCCAGCCAUGCCGCGUGAGUGAUGAAGGCCUUAGGGUUGUAAAGCUCUUUUGUCCGGGAAGAUAAUGACUGUACCGGAAGAAUAAGCCCCGGCUAACUUCGUGCCAGCAGCCGCCGUAAAAC
rnacentral:rRNA from 1 species